GUGCUUGCCUUGACAGAACAUAUAGUAAAAUUGGAACAAUACUGAGAAGAUAAGCAUGGCGCCUGUGCAAGGUUGACACAUAAACUCAUGAAGCUUUCCAUAUAUUU